GGAGACAGAACUGCUCCCAGUGGUAAAAUGCAAUUUGGCUGGAGGAAGAACUGCAAGCCAAGGGCCAGCUGACAAUGGGAACCCGGCUCUUCCUGGCACCUGGGACUGUGUUCUGUUGGAAGCAGCAGUGUGGGGAGCUGCUGACUUGCAGCAGCAAUUGUGGAUGAAGGAUACUUAAUCGGGAGCUUUGGUUCGCAUUCCCAUUUCCAACACAGCCUCCAGAGCCACAGGUGUGUGCAUAACUUGGGAAGAGGAAAGGCUCCACAGGUGAGAUGGAGAAGCUGCACAGCCAAAUCACUGAAACCCAAAGAAUUAAUCAGGUGAAGUUACACUGUGAGCAGCACCCAAGCCUUGAUUACAGCCUGUCAUCAAGGGAACCACAGAAUUUGGACCAAAAAAAAAUAUUACAAGAGGCUUAGCAUUUAAUGCUCUAAAGUAGUAAAUCCACAGCAAAUCCUCCUGAAUCUAAAUAUGCCUAAGACAUAAUUUAACUUAUUUUUUAAAGUUUUCUCGAAUGCCAUCUUACACUCCCAAACUAAGCUCCACUCUUGCUUUUGCUUUUUCAGUAGUAUGCAAAUCGGGUUACAUCCCAUGCCUUGAGUGCCCUUUUGGCAUCCCAAAAGCUCCUUCCAAUAAACAAGUCCACAUGCACCUCGGGAUCACCUUCUGGCUUAUUUCUCCUAAGACUGGUGUGAAAGCUAAACUUGGUCAAAAGCCUGCCUGGGUUUUUGGCAAAACCAAGGAUGUUAAUGGAAAACAACCCUAGUCCACGUGGGAAGAAAAUAAUCCCAGUUUUAACAUGAAAUGGAAAUUUUACCAACACCUCUGGACCAAAAGAAAACAAGCAGCCGUAACAUCACUUACUUCCACAAGAGAACUCCCACUGCAAACUGAUGGAGCUCCUACAGAUUCCGGAUAGGAAGAGGA